AUUAAACGCUGGCGGCAUGCCUUACACAUGCAAGUCGAACGGUAGCGCGGGGCAACCUGGCGACGAGUGGCGAACGGGUGAGUAAAGCAUCGGAACGUGCCCUGGAAUGGGGGAUAACGUAGCGAAAGUUACGCUAAUACCGCAUAUUCUGUGAGCAGGAAAGCAGGGGAUCGCAAGACCUUGCGUUCUGGGAGCGGCCGAUGUCGGAUUAGCUAGUUGGUGGGGUAAAAGCCUACCAAGGCGACGAUCCGUAGCGGGUCUGAGAGGAUGAUCCGCCACACUGGGACUGAGACACGGCCCAGACUCCUACGGGAGGCAGCAGUGGGGGAAUUUUGGACAAUGGGCGGAAGCCUGAUCCAGCCAUGCCGCGUGAGUGAAGAAGGCCUCGGUUGUAAG
rnacentral:rRNA from 1 species